CCUACGGGGGGCAGCAGUAGGGAAUAUUGCUCAAUGGGGGAAACCCUGAAGCAGCAACGCCGCGUGGAGGAUGAAGGUUUUCGGAUUGUAAACUCCUUUUGUUAGAGAAGAGAAUGACGGUAUAUAACGAAUAAGCAACGGCUAACUCCGUGCCAGCAGCCGCGGUAAUACGGAGGGUGCAAGCGUUACUCGGAACCACUGGGCGUAAAGAGCGCGUAGGCGGGAUAGCAAGUCAGAUGUUAAAUCCUAUGGCUUAACCAUAGAACUUCAUUUGAAACUUUUAUUCUAGAGUAUUGGAGAGGUUGGUUGCAUUCUUUGUUUAGGGGUUCACUCCGU
rnacentral:rRNA from 1 species